AAAUGUAUCCAGAAAUAGAACGAUGAUCGUAGACUUUGCUUAUGAAAGCGAUUAACUUUUAUUCAUUUCACAAAAUAGAACGAAAUCAACAACGUAUUCGAUGACAGUGAGUAAAUACAGGAAGUCAUCCACUGCACACACUGGUUGUAAAUACUAAUAUAUUUAACCCUAUACCUGUAGCGCGGAAUUCCUUUGUUUAUAAUCACACAGGUAAACGCGUUAUCGGCCAUUCGGGAGUUAUCGGACAUUCUGUUGAACGUGGUUUCUGACUGAGUCGUAUUCUACAAUGACGAAAUAUGCGGUGGCGCAAGCGCAAUUGUGCAGCUACUGCAUGGUGUAAAUAUUCUGUAUAUUUACAUUUGGCCAAACCUACGCGCCAUACUGGACCACAAAGAAGUUGUCUCUGACGUUAUGGAUUGCGUAAACCAGAUAUCAAUGCAACGGAGGAACUGUCCGUCCUGUUCUAAGAUGUUGAUCAGGCGAUUGUCCUAGUCACCUGUCAGGAUGUGACUCUGGCUGUCUGUAGUGACCAAAUGAUUAUGUGGUAUUAGAGAGCAGACCAAUGUAUCUAAAUUGGCGUUUUCCUGCCUGAUUUACCACCACUACUGCACUAGACCAAUAGUCAGCCACGCAAAUAUCCAGGUUCCUGUUUCACUGAUAUAUUUAAGACAAUCAAUGAAUACAUCAAACUGCAUGGUUUAUCUAUGUCUUUGUGUAGCAGAGUAACGGACAACUUUGGAUUGUUUUUUACCAUCACUGUCCAUGGUAACCAGGAGAUCACCAGAGGAGGUACUGCAGACAGAGAGACGUGUCCAUUCCUGUAGUCUGAGUCUGUAUCUGUUUAUUCUUCACUGAUUACAGUUCUUUUAUAGCCAGUAUAAACACGAUAUCCUUCCCGUGUCACUGCUAUGUCACGUGUCCCUGCUAUGUCACGUGUCCUGUGUCACUGCUAUGUCACGUGUCACUGCUAUGCCACGUGGGUGUGUUCCCGGACGCUGUUUGGACAGACUUCAGUAUUUUCUAAAGGAGGCCGAGGAACUUCACCAUUUUGUCAUAAUCACAUGUCCAGACCUCGUCAUCAUCUAGACCGUGACACGGAAUAGAUAUGCCUUUGAUGGCAGAGAUCUACUGUGAUUGACUGGAGGAGAGGAUGCAACUUCUGGUGACUUCAAUGCAUCGCCAUGUUUUUCUUUUGUAAUGGAUAAUGACGACAGAGAACUAAACCUUUCAUGGAGCUGAUCUUUGUUUAUUUUCUGAGAAGACAAACUUGUUUGGACAUCGGAUACCAUUUCUUCAUAUCGUGGAUAAGUUCUGGUCUCCAGUUUAAAUCCUUUGAGCUGAUUUCUUUCAUCAGAACAUCUGAUCAUGAUGCACUGUGACCUUUGUGUUUAACAGUGAAGACGAUAGUAGAAGAGACAGGAAAGUUUUAAUCUAGACAUCUAGUAUUGUAGACGUUGACUGUCUCUGUUUACAGGGGACAACAUUGUACCUUUUAGAUGAUCGGAGUUCUAGGUGUUGCUAUAAGUGUCCUUGCAUAGGUUUAUAUGAAAAAGUUCACCGUGGCUUUGUGGGGGACAAUUUCACAACAGUCGUACAGUAGGAGGUGUGUGUAGAUUCUUAGACUCCAUGUACAGAGACCCUCGUACAUGUAUAUACAUACAGUCAAUUUCAAAGGAAUAAACAGAAAUAUAUCUCAUAAAUAAUAAAUUAAAACGUCUUUUAGAGAAAAGAAAUCAAAAAGGAAAUCUUUUUGCGUUAGGUUUACUUGAACAUGCACGCACCAGGUGAAACUCAAUCAUUUUACUUACUGAGACAGGAACGUUGUGCAAUUUACGAAAAUAUGAGAUUGAGGGCUUGGAAUGAUAAUGAUUAGGUCUGAAGGUUAUAGAACAUGUACUGUACUCAUACUCAAGCUUUGCCAUGUUUGGUUUGAGUACAACUCUGAGCAAGCUCCGAAGCAUACUCGAAAAAUCUUGAGCAUAUACUCCAUUUGAGUAUUAGAAUGAUUUUAUAAAAAUUGUAUAGCCCUAACUUUUAAGUAUGGGUACGAUUGAGAGCACGGAGUUUCAGUAUGAAAUCAUGCUCAAAAAAGUUUUAUAACCUUCAGGCCAGUUUGAUUAAUGCCAGGAUUCUGAGCGGAUCCCAAUGCACGUACAUGUAUCGUUAGCAGUAAGAUGGGAGGAGGCUAGAUCAGUUAUACACAUCAUAUUAUAAAUAUUUGUUCCUUAUGCUAUAGAUUGGGGUUCUGUACAAUAUACCGUAGUAUUCCUUGUUCAAAAGUAACCAAGUCCAACAACCUGUAAUAUUCUCAGAAAUUGAAGAAAAGCAUACUUUUUGCAUAAUUUGAAUAACGAUCCCCAGUAAAUCACGCAUUCUGAGAGCAUUGCAAAAACAAUACAUGUCCCCUACUAGCGCCCCUAUUUAUUUGAGUGAUGUCAUUAUAUGCAGACCAUACAUAUUUUAACGAGAGGCGAAUAUUAUUUUUCAAUAAUAAGAAACAUUAUGAUAUCGAUCUCUUAUAAAUAGAUGAAGCAAAUCAUACGGACUCUAUUACAAAUUGAUAUAAUUUAAGUGAUAUAGAUCCCACACACUGAAAAUAAAAAGAAUACAAAGAACUAGACAGAUCAAGUACAAGAGUGAAAUAAAAACAGUCCACUGUGAGACUAAGCCUUGUUCACAUGGAUGUGUAUUAGAUUGUUAUUUCCUCUGACUACCAUCAUUAAAUUAAGACAAUAUAUUGCAUCUUUGUGAGCCUAGUUACCGCAUCGGAACGUCUCCUUCACCAUUCCGCUUUGAAUGACGGAAAGGUAUUUGAAGUCCACUAUGAUGCCAUGUGAUAUAAAAUUUAAACAAUGAACGGCAUCUUUGUUAAAGUGUUAAAAAAUAAUUAUAUUGUAAAUUUAAAACAUUUUUAUCGUAUUUAAAAGCAAUUUGUUGUAGUUUCCUCCACAAUGCCUUAAAUUAGGAAUCUAGUAAUUGAUUUUGCUUGGUCUAGUAACUUUGCAAAGACAAAUAGUAUUCUUCCUUUAGUUGGUAAUUUUCUUAACUCAUCACUCUUAGAUUUCUAUGUAAAGCAAGUGCGAUUCCAGAAUAAAAAAUCAAGGUGGGGGAUUGCGACUGGGAGAGAGGGUAGACGACCUUAAAAUGGGAAAGAAUGACCUUUCUUUUAAACAAUGUUCAACCCCGUAGUCCAAUCCCUCUAUAGAUCCCCCGAUGUGUAGAGUAGUGGGACGUCAUUGAAUUCAAGUAUUGACCUAUUCAAAGGUCCUGAAUUAUUAUUUCGAGUUCUAUAUUGUGAUUGAUUUCAUUUGUGUGUUUAUCUAAACAGCAUGGUGUCUAUUUUUCAUCUCCUCAAUGUCGGAUUCCCGUUGGUUUACAAUGUUACAAUGACCGUGACCUCAUCUUGUUGGUCAGCAGGUGUUGUCAGUUUCCCGUAAUUCGUUUCUAAUUUGGCUUUUUCAGUUUGGACAUCAGAUACCAUUUCUUCAUAUCGUGGAUAAGUUCUGGUCUCUAGUUUAAAUCUGUUGAGCUGAUUUCUUUUAUCAGAACAUCUGAUCAUGAUGCACCGUGACCUUGUGUUUAACAGUGAAGACGAUAGUAGAACAGACAGGAAAGUUUUAAUCUGGACAGCUAGUAUUGUAGACGUUGACUGUCUCUGUUUACAGGGGACAACAUUGUACCUUUUAGAUAAUCGGAGUUCUAGGUGCUCCUAUAACAGUCCUUGCAUAGGUUUUUAUGAAAAAGUUCACCGUGGCUUUGUGGGGGACAGUUUCACAACAAUCGUACAGUAGGACGUGUUUGUAGAUUCUUAGACUCCAUGUACAAAUACUUCUACAUGUAUAUACACAUAUACAGUCAAUUUCUAAGGAAUAAUCAGAAAUACACCCCUAAAUAAUAAAUUAAAACGUCUUUUGUAGAAAAAAAAAUCGAAAAGGAAAUCUUUUUGCCUUAGGAUUAGUUGAGCAUUCACACACGGACUCUAUUACAAAUUUAUAUACUUUAAAUGAUAAUGAAAAUAAAAGGAAUAUAAUGAACGCAUUAGAUUGUUAUUUCCUAUGACCACUAUCAUUCAAUCAAGACAAUAUAUUGCAUCUUGUUCUUGAGCCUAGGUACCGCAUCGGAGCAUCUUCACCAUUCCGCUUUGAUUGACGGAAAGGUAUUUUAAGCCUACUAUGAUGUCAUAUGAUAUGAAAUUUAAAGAAUGAACGACACAUUUGUUAAAGUGUUAAAAAGAAUUAUAUUAUCAUUUCAAAACAGUUUUAUCGUAUUUAAAAGCAAUUUGUUGUAGUUUUCCGGACUUUCCUCCACACUGCCUUAAAUUAGGAAUCUAGUAAUUGAUUUUGCUUGGUCUAGUAACUUUGCAAAGAUAAAUAGUAUACUUCCUCUGUCAGACUGGACAGUGUUGUCUGUGUCAGGCAAGCCUUGUAUUCUCCUAAUUCCAGGCUGAGUUAUCUCCCUUGGACUGUGUUGGUUUUGAGUGAUGGCAGUUUGACAUCAAUAUCAAUAGGCAUGUUUCUGUAUUCCUCGAGUUUGGAUUUGUAGUUGGUGACUUCGGACACUAUUAAAGCGCUAAGCAUAUCUGAGCACAUUUUGUUGCUACAUUUGUUCCUUAGUUUUAUCUGUUUCCAGAUAACCGCCACCUAUCGGCUGUUUUGUCCACCAAGCAAUAUUAGACUGGUUCUGUCUAAUACUAGUAUGCAAUAUGUCUGUUAGGGGACCAAUCAAGCUGAUCCAUUUCCUUAAGGGCCAUUUAAGCAAUAACGCAGAAAUAGUUCGUUUACCAUGGAUACAAUUUAGUAAUAUUUAUGUGAUGUGAUAUUCUAUUUUUAUGUAAAAAAUAUAAAAUCUUGAUUGAAGUGUUUUGUGAACAUGUAGCAUUUUUAUGAAAUAAUUUGUGUAUUGAGGAAAUGUGGAAACCUGUUUAAAUAACAGCAUAAGUAAGUUUGAAAUUUUCGGAGAAAUCUCUUAGUUAAGUACAGUAUUUUGGGAAGAGGUUUACAAUAUUUCAAAGAAUGUCUUGAAAUAUUUGAACCUACAUGUUGCAAUAAAUGUGACAUUCAAAGUAGAAACUUGAAAUGUAUUUUGAGUAAAGUAUUUGAACUUGACGAGAAUUUGUGAUAAGUUUAAGAUAUACAGAAAAUGUGACAAAUGAAAACUAGUGCAAGUUUGAUGUGACUGAAAUCAUUAGAUGAGAAAAUAGUACAGCAUUGUUUUACGAAAAUGUGCGAAAUUAGUGCAAUGUACUUGUGUACAAACUUUUUUUGUUGUUGCUGUUUUUGUUUGUUUCGUACGAGGUAUUUUUGUUUGAUGUGACUGAAAUCAUUACAUGAGAACAUGAUAAAAUGUUAUUGCAAUUUUGUUUGAAGAAGAUGAAAGGAGAAGAUAACGAACAGUGAUCAAUCCCAUAACUCUUAUAAGAUGUGAGAAAUUGUGAUACGCACAUGUUGAUGAGUACAUGUACAGUGAACUUGUGUACAAACUAAUUUUUUUGUUUUUGUCUUGUGUUUAUUUGAUAUAUUUUUUAAACAUGAAAAUCCCUACAGUGCAUGAUAAGUAAAUCCGUGUACGUAUAUGUUAGUCUCUAUUGGAAGUUAUAUACUUAUCAUCAUUCAUGUUUUCAUGAAACUCGUGGAAGAUUGAAGUAUGAUGUAUGUAAAUGAUAUUUGUGUGCCAUAAGAACUUAAGUAGAAGCGUUUGUUGUUGACAUGUACAGUGUAUGCCUCUGGAUGUUGUUGGUAUAAUAUUCUCUUGCACUUGUAACAUGAACUGUACAACUUUCAUGUUGACAAAUGAGAUUUCUCCACUCUUGUUGAUCGCUAGCCUUCAUUUUUAAAGCUAGCAAUUUCGCACAUGUAUAAAUGAACAUUUUUUAAUAACUUCCUAAGUUUUGCUUACAAUGGUACGUGCAUUUUUCUGAUUUGGUUGGAUUCACAUUCUCUCCAACCUCAUUUUGAAUUGCAAUCAAGUUCAUUAUUGAUUACAAAAAUAACUCUACUUUCAUGUUUCGAUUACUACUGGUAAUUAUGCAUUGGCCUCUGUAGUAUACGUCAUAAGGAUGCAUAUUUCUGUACAUCUGAAUGAUUCCUGGAAAGAAGUGUACAGUAUUUCAUUAUUAUGUUGUUAUAUUUUGGCAUGAAUAUCACUGGCACUGGCUACUUGGUUAUGUAAUUAGUAUGUGCAUUUUUCUGUUUUAUUCAGUUAUUUGUUCUUACUUGUUUGCUUGACAAAUGUAUCAAAUGAUGGAUUGGUUUCAUUUUAGUUGUAUUCUAAAAUGUAUCAUGCGCUAUUAAACUAGAAGACAGUA